AUCCCUACUUCCAUAACAAACUUGAAAAAUCUAUCCUUUCUCCACUUGUGGGGUAAUAAACUCUCCGGUUUCAUACCUUCAGAAAUUGGAUUCUUAAAAUUUUUAAAACAACUUGAGCUGUCGAUUAACGGUUUAACCGGUGUAAUCCCUUCUUCUAUUGGACACUUGAGAAAUUUAUCGAUUCUUUACCUUGAUGACAAUAAACUUUCUGGUUCCAUACCUUUAGAAAUCGGGUUCUUAAAAUCUCUUAAAAAACUUGCCUUGUCGAGUAAUGCUCUGUCUGGACCAAUUCCUCCUUCCAUUGGAAACUUGAGAGAGUUAUCAUUUCUUAACCUUUGGGACAAUAGACUCUCAGGAUCAAUCCCCCAUGAAAUUGGGAUGCUUAGUUCUCUUUCUCAACUCUAUUUGGGGGGAAAUAAUCUCACCGGUUCAAUCCCUACAUCAAUAGGAGAACUUAAAUCCCUUCACAUGUUGGGAUUGCAAUUCAACCAACUCAACGGUUCCCUGCCUUUGGAAUUCAAUAAUCUUUCUCAUUUGAAGUCAUUGCAAUUGUCUGGGAAUGGAUUCACUGGUUGUUUGCCAGAAAAUGUAUGCCUUG
rnacentral:misc_RNA from 1 species